GACGAACCGUACAAACGUUAUUCGGAAUUACUGGGCUUAAAGGGUUUGUAGGCGGCCUUGUAAGUCAGGUGUGAAAUCCCUCGGCUCAACCGAGGAAUGGCGCUUGAUACUGCACGGCUUGAGGGAGACAGGGGUAAGCGGAACUGAUGGUGGAGCGGUGAAAUGCGUUGAUAUCAUCAGGAACACCGGUGGCGAAAGCGGCUUACUGGGUCUCUUCUGACGCUGAGGAACGAAAGCUAGGGGAGCGAACGGG
rnacentral:rRNA from 1 species